ACCUUACCUACUCUUGACAUCCAGAGAACUUAGCAGAGAUGCUUUGGUGCCUUCGGGAACUCUGAGACAGGUGCUGCAUGGCUGUCGUCAGCUCGUGUUGUGAAAUGUUGGGUUAGUCCCGCAACGAGCGCAACCCUUAUCCUUGUUGCCAGCGGUCGGCCGGGAACUCAAAGGAGACUGCCAGUGAUAAACUGGAGGAAGGUGGGGAUGACGUCAAGUCAUCAUGGCCCUUACGAGUAGGGCUACACACGUGCUACAAUGGCGCAUACAAAGAGAAGCGACCUCGCGAGAGCAAGCGGACCUCAUAAAGUGCGUCGUAGUCCGGAUUGGAGUCUGCAACUCGACUCCAUGAAGUCGGAAUCGCUAGUAAUCGUGGAUCAGAAUGCCACGGUGAAUACGUUCCCGGGCCUUGUACACACCGCCCGUCACACCAUGGGAGUGGGUUGCAAAAGAAGUAGGUAGCUUAACCUUCGGGAGGGCGCUUACCACUUUGUGAAUCAUGACUGGGGUGAAGUCGUAACAAGGUAACCGUAGGGGAACCUGCGGUUGGAUCACCUCCUUA
rnacentral:rRNA from 2 species